rnacentral:rRNA from 1 species
CCUACGGGAGGCUGCAGUGAGGAAUAUUGGUCAAUGGCCGGAAGGCUGAACCAGCCAUGCCGCGUGAAGGUCAGUGCCCUAUGGGCGUUAAACUUCUUUUGUGCGGGAGCAAUAAUGGUCACGUGUGGCCAGACGAGAGUACCGUACGAAUAAGCAUCGGCUAACUCCGUGCCAGCAGCCGCGGUAAUACGGGGGAUGCAAGCGUUAUCCGGAUUUAUUGGGUUUAAAGGGUGCGUAGGCUGUGAGGUAAGUCAGCGGUGAAAUGCCCCCGCUCAACGGGGUGAAGUGCCAUUGAUACUGCCUUGCUGGAAUGCGGAUGCCGUGGGAGGAAUGUGUGGUGUAGCGGUGGAAUGCAUAGAUAUCACACAGAACACCGAUUGCGAAGGCAUCUCACGAAGCCGCGAUUGACGCUGAUGCACGAAAGCGUGGGUAUCAAACAGGAUUAGAUACCCGAGUAGUC